rnacentral:lncRNA from 1 species
UAUCAGACAGUGCAGAUAUAGGACAUUUCUGUCAUCGAAGAAAGUUCUGUUGAACUGCAUUGCCUCAGAGAUCAGCCAGCCAAGGACUUCAUCUUUACUGAGCUUUAAGAAACUAAGACUCAUAAAGGUUGAAUGACUUCCAAAGAUAUCCAGGGAUUUAUGCAAAUGUAUUUCUUGGCUGUUUUGGACUGCUGAGGUUAUCCUUUAUUUUGUUCUUGAUUUUUGAAAGAAAUUUUAUAUAUCAGGUGCUUAUUUGAUUUUUGCAAGUAACCUAAUGUAAUGAUGGCCUUGCAGUGUAAAAACACUGAUUCCUUCUGGAGGUGCUCAACCUGAUAUAGUUAAUAAUGUCUAAAUUGUUUUCUUGUUUUUAGUGACCUAUGAAUUUCACAAGAAAAAGGAAUUCUGGAUUAAUUUUUGGAGAAACAUUGCUCUAUUUAUCCUAUCCUAGAUUGUGCUAAUAAUAUUGUUAUGAUACUAAAGACACUUUGAAAACUGGAUUCAAGUACAUAAGAAAGGCCAAUAGGUCAGUUGUGCCUGGAGGUCACAAGACCCAUCAUUAUAAUAUCCACAGUUAGUCAACAUCAUUCGUCAGAUUCAGGAUGGGAAGAGGCUGCUACAGACGUGCUAUGCAUGUGUCCAGCAUGCUCCUCAGAGACACUUAGCUUCACUUAGAGUCAAGACAGACAAUAAAGUCUCGCUCAUUCAACCGUGUACAGGAUUUAUGCAGUGCCCGGUGCAAGAUCUCACUGGGGGCCCGAAUUCACAGUGGAUGGAGGGCUGAAGCCUUGCUCAGGUGCAGAAAUCAAAUGCAAAGAGCCACAAAGCAUUAAAGGUAGGGAAUUCUGGACUUGGGGAUUCUUGAAAAAGGUCCCCCCAGAAAAGGGGCCUAGAAACUUCCUCUGAAAGCCACCUCUCUACCUGGCUUCCUUGGAUAUAAGGAAUUUGUCCUAGUGCAGAUCAAAGGGAAUUCUGGACCAUUGUUUUCGGUUAUUAAUUAAGUGAAAUUGAUCUGCAAUUAUUCUAACAGUUAACUAAACCAUGGUGUAGAGAGAAGAUAAAAGAAAGAAUCUGGGCUCUCCGUGGCCCUUAUUAACUUCUUCUUUUUAAUGAAUACCUUUCCUUCUGUUCUCCCAAGCUUUUGCCUACUCAUGUGCAAUAAAGAAAUACCAAAUAAAGUAGCAAAGCAUCUUUUCUUGGUGCAGUUAGUUGUGUUUCUCUAACUCUGGGGUCUUGACUUUUUGGAGAAGACGCCAUGAGAGGCUGCUGUGCCCCACAGAUGUGGUUUUAUCGCAUAGACACUGAGCAGUGGGACAGUGGAAGUUCUAGCCAGUUUAUCAGGGGAAUUACAUGGUAAGAAGGUGUAUUCCAGAAUGGCAGACCAACGUGGGAGGACUCAGAAAACAAGAGACCAAGUCAAGGAAGACCAGAUGAGGCACAGAACGCCCAUCAAAUACCACAGGGCAGGGCAAGUAAGAGCCAGAGCCCAGAAGAUUGGGGAAUUGGCAAACCCAAUAGUUGUAUUCUGGUCUUUUUUUGUAAUUCUGCCCUAUAUGGCUGAGCAAGUUUUCUCCUACUCAAGUGAAAGGGUUAAGGUGAGGCAGAGGGCAAGGACUUUGUGGCGAUGCCAAGAGUAUCUUCCUUCUCACAAGGUGAGCUCUUCUGCUGGACUCAGCCUGGGGAUGUGCUGUACUGUGCCCGUUUCUGGAAUAGAUCCUCUAGUCUGAAGCACCCUGACCAUUCAGGAGCUGGUGCGUUCAUGUUCCUUGGAAAUAAUUGUCAGUUAAGCAGAUAUUCUUCCUAACUCCUGAUAUAUUAUAAGGAGAAGGUGGAAAGGAAGAACUGCAAGGAAUGCACGGUCCUGUAUUUCUGAGGACAGAGCUAGGGAAGAAUCUUAAAGGCUCUGGAGGGGGAGUGAGGUGGUGCAUGGAAGAUGCAUGGGAAACAAGAUGAAAGGAAACCAGAGAACACCACGGGGCUGUGGCUGCAGAAGUCAAGGCUCAGCUUUGAAGAGGGUCAUCUCUGUCACCAGAUCUUGUACCUGCAGAUGAUGGUCUCCCUAGAUGCUGGGGCUUCUGGGUCAGGAUGUGUGGAUGCCUGGGAGCUGACUGUGGGGGCUGGCAGUCAUGGGGACCAGCAUGCCUGGGGAAGUACGGGGUGAAGGUUUGUACCUGUGACACUAUGCUGAGUUUGAUGUAGCUAGAAAACUCAGACCUCAGCUACACAACUAUGAGCUAUGAGGCUUUGUGAAGGUAAAUUAACCUCUCUGAGACUGUUUCUACCAUGGUAAGCUGAAUAAUAACCCCACCAUCACCCCAGAGAUACCCACAUCCUAAUCUCCAAAAGUGGUGACUUUGUCACCUUACAUGGUAAAAUGGACUUUGCAGGUGGAAUGAAGUUAAGAAUCUUGAGAUGGGGAGAAUCCUGCCUUGUCUGGAUGGGUCCAGUGUCAUCACAGGAGGUUUCUGGGAAGAACACAGGAAAGUGAGAAUGAGUGUGAGACAGGGGUGUGAUGACAAAAGCUGAGGUUGGAGUGAGGCAAAGAAGGGGCCAUGAGCCAAGGAAUGUGGAUGGUCUCUAGAAGCUGGGAAAGGCAAGGAGAUAGACUAUCCCUGGAGCCAGCAGAAGGAACAUGCCUCUGACAACACCUUGAUUGUAGCCCAGUGGAACCCAUAAAACUCAACAGUAAUGGUACCCAUGUCAUAGGGCUGCCAUGACAGUUAAAUAAGAUGGUGUACCUAAAGCACUCAACAAUGUACGUGUCAAGUAAAUGAGAGAUGGUUUUAUCAUAUGUUUUUAGAAGUCGUAUUAUCAGAGCCAGGCCUGGACCCACAUCUGACUUAAAGCACACCCACUACACUGUACUAAGCCAAUUUGGUGUGGUUGGAAGUUGCUGCAACUCUUCCCUAGAGAUUACGGUGCAGGGAGUUCCCGUUGUGGCUUAGUGGGUUAAGAACCCGAGUAGUAUCCAUGAGGAUGUGUGUUGGAUUCUUGGCCUCACUCAGUGGGUUAAAGGGUCCAGCACUGUCUCGAGCUAUGGUGAAGGCUGGCGUUGCUGUGGCUGUGGUGUAGGUCAGCAGCUGCUGCUCCAAUUUGACCUCUAGCCUGGGAACUUCCAUAUGCUGCAGGUGCAG